AUAGGAGCGGGGCCAACGGUCGCCCUGGCUGGGUCGCCCUGACUGUCCGACGCGCCCUGGCUCAGCCCCAGCAGAGGUUAGUGUGGGGGCAGAGGGGGAUUCCCAGCAGCAGGCCGGUCAGACUGGGGCUUCAGAGAAGGGCCCUGGUGGUAAGCCUGGUCCAAGAGGUGCCAGCCCAUCCCUUGGACACGACACGGAGCCAUGGGGCCGUCUGUCCUCUGUCUAUAAAAUGGGGAAUGAUGGCAGUCCCUGCCUUACCGAUCAAAUAAAAUCAGGGAUAAAGUCUUAACCAAGUGCAAAGAGAGUAAAAGUACAGGGUCACUGAUUUUUAAAAUGGAUCUUUCGGGGCAGGGAUGGGUCCACUCCUGAGCCCUUGGACCAAGCCUGGGAGAGCUGGACAAAUCCAGCGCUGGCCCAUGUCUUCUCAGCAGAUGCCUGUGAAGGUUGUCAUUGGCCCCUGGGUUCCUGGACAAAAGGUGUCCUGAGGACCCAUCACAGGCCAGGUUCUGGGCUCGGGGGCAGGGGUGACGGGGUGGGGCCCCCACUCUGUGUGCUCCUGCUGCCAUGCCAAGGAUGAAGCCAGCAGGGGAAGGCCUCAACCAUGCAGCCUUUCCCCAGGAGGCGGCAGGGCCUGCUCCUCAGGCGUUGCCCCCACCUCCACUAGGGCCCACCUCAGUCCAUCCUCCACGCAGCAGCCACCACCCAGGGGCCGAGGGAGACACGUCUAAGGCAGGGCCUUGCACUUAGAACAGACCCACAUUUACCCCCUCCCUCCCCCUAGCCCUCAGGUCUCCAACAGCCCAACCCACUGCACUGCAGGGCCUGCUCCCAGGGCCCUCUGAACAGAAAGACACGGGCACCCUGAAAAGCAAGGUCAUACUUUCAUCCAUCCUGACGUAGGGUAGGUGAAAAGAUGGUGGCAGAGAGAGGUUUAUUGCCCCAAACAGCCCUAGCCCAUAGCCAGGAAGUUUGGAAACUGUUGCUAAACGUAUCGCUGUCAACAGCACCCUCUUUGAGGUGAUUCGCUUCCAUUCACUCUGUGAUGGUGAUUUCCUACCGAGAUCUGUGAUCAUGCUGCAGCAGACAUUUGCCAUCUGGUUACCCAAAGUCCCCUUCCUCCUGGAGCUGAUGUUCUGGGGCAGGUAGACAAAAAUCAAAGUAGUGAAAGGGGUAGGGAAGGGGUGUUACUUCAAAUAGGUUGGGCUGAGGAGGCACCCCUGGACACCUGAGUGAAGGCUGGAUGAGCUGAAGAAACGGGCCAUGCAGGGAUGGCUGGGUGGGUGAAGGGGCCAUCUCACAGGGACAUUAUAAAGCUGGGUGCUGGUAGUGGCCAGAUGGAGGCUCUCCACGCUUCUGGUGGAUUCUGAGAGCUGCCCCGCACCCAAGCAUCUUUGAGGCCUAAGGUGAAAAAUU
rnacentral:lncRNA from 1 species